AGAGUUUGAUCAUGGCUCAGAGUGAACGCUGGCGGCGUGCUUAACACAUGCAAGUCGAACGAGAACGGCUCUAGCUUGCUAGAGUGUCAGCUAAGUGGCGGACGGGUGAGUAAUGUAUAGUUUAUCUGCCCCUUGGAGAGGGAUAACAGUUGGAAACGGCUGCUAAUACCUCAUACUCCUGUUGCUGUAAAGGUAACAGGGAAAUGGUUUAUUCUGCCAAGGGAUGAGACUAUAUGAUAUCAGGUAGUUGGUGGGGUAAGAGCCUACCAAGCCAAUGACAUCUAGCUGGUCUGAGAGGAUGAUCAGCCACACUGGAACUGAGACACGGUCCAGACUCCUACGGGAGGCAGCAGUGGGGAAUAUUGCACAAUGGGGGAAACCCUGAUGCAGCAACGCCGCGUGGAGGAUGACACAUUUNGGUGCGUAAACUCCUUUUAUAUGGGAAGAUANGGACG
rnacentral:rRNA from 1 species